GGGGUUGUGGCUCAGUGGUGGAGCGCUUGCCUAGCAUGUGUGAGGCCCUGAGUUUGAUCCUCAGCAUCACAU
rnacentral:tRNA from 1 species